rnacentral:rRNA from 1 species
UACGUAGGGGGCUAGCGUUGUCCGGAUUUAUUGGGCGUAAAGAGCGUGUAGGCGGCCAUGUAGGUCCGGUGUGAAAACUCGAGGCUUAACCUCGAGAUGUCAUCGGAAACCAUUUGGCUAGAGUCCGGAAGAGGAGAGUGGAAUUCCUGGUGUAGCGGUGAAAUGCGCAGAUAUCAGGAAGAACACCUAUGGCGAAGGCAGCUCUCUGGGACGGUACUGACGCUGAGACGCGAAAGCGUGGGGAGCGAACAGG